GCCAGACAUGUUGGUAUAUGACUGUAGUCCCAGCUACUUGGGAGGCUGAGGCAGGAGGAUCACUUGAGCCCAGGAGUUUGAGGCUGCAGUGAGCCAUGAUUGUACCACUGCACUCUAGCCUGGGCAACAGAGUGAGAUCCUGUCUCUA
rfam:Homo sapiens chromosome 1, GRCh38 reference primary assembly.